UACGGAAGGGGCUAGCGUUGUUCGGAAUUACUGGGCGUAAAGAGCGCGUAGGCGGCUUACCAAGUUGGGGGUGAAAUCCCGGAGCUCAACUCCGGAACUGCCUUCAAAACUGGUAGGCUCGAGUCCGGAAGAGGGGCGUGGAAUUCCCAGUGUAGAGGUGAAAUUCGUAGAUAUUGGGAAGAACACCGGUGGCGAAGGCGGCGCCCUGGUCCGGUACUGACGCUGAGGCGCGAAAGCCAGGGGAGCAAACGGG
rnacentral:rRNA from 1 species